AGUGAACGCUGGCGGUAGGCCUAACACAUGCAAGUCGAACGGCAGCACAGUAAGAGCUUGCUCUUACGGGUGGCGAGUGGCGGACGGGUGAGGAAUACAUCGGAAUCUACUUUUUCGUGGGGGAUAACGUAGGGAAACUUACGCUAAUACCGCAUACGACCUACGGGUGAAAGCAGGGGAUCUUCGGACCUUGCGCGAUUGAAUGAGCCGAUGUCGGGUUAGCUAGUUGGCGGGGUAAAGGCCCACCAAGGCGACGAUCCGUAGCUGGUCUGAGAGGAUGAUCAGCCCCACUGGACCUGAGACACGGUCCAGACUCCUACGGGAGGCAGCAGUGGGGAAUGUUGGACACUGGGCGCAAGCCUGAUCCAGCCAUACCGCGUGGGUGAAGAAGGCCUUCGGGUUGUAAAGCCCUUUUGUUGGAAAGAAAAGCAGCAGGUUAAUACCCCGCUGUUCUGACGGUACCCAAAGAAUAAGCACCGGCUAACUUCGUG
rnacentral:rRNA from 1 species